UACGUAGGGUGCAAGCGUUAAUCGGAAUUACUGGGCGUAAAGCGCGUGUAGGCUGCUUCGCAAGUCGGAUGUGAAAGCCCUGGGCUCAACCCAGGAAGUGCAUUCGAUACUCCAAGGCUAGAGUACUGGAGAGGUGGGUGGAAUUCUCGGUGUAGAGGUGAAAUUCGUAGAUAUCGGAAGGAACACCUGUGGCGAAAGCGGCUCACUGGACCAUAACUGACGCUGAGGCGCGAAAGCUAGGGGAGCAAACAGG
rnacentral:rRNA from 1 species